rnacentral:rRNA from 1 species
AUACAGAGGGUGCAAGCGUUAAUCGGAAUUACUGGGCGUAAAGCGCGCGUAGGUGGUUUGAUAAGUUGGAUGUGAAAUCCCCGGGCUUAACCUGGGUCGGUCAUUCAAAACUGUCAGGCUAGAGUAUGGUAGAGGGUAGUGGAAUUUCUAGUGUAGCGGUGAAAUGCGUAGAUAUUAGAAGGAACACCAGUGGCGAAGGCGACUGCCUGGACUGAUACUGACACUGAGGUGCGAAAGCGUGGGUAGCGAACAGGAUUAGAAACCCUUGUAGUCC